UACGGAGGGUGCAAGCGUUACCCGGAUUCACUGGGUUUAAAGGGUGCGUAGGUGGAUUAGUAAGUCAGUGGUGAAAUCUCCGGGCUUAACCCGGAAACUGCCAUUGAUACUAUUAGUCUUGGAUACCGUGGAGGUCAGCGGAAUAUGUCAUGUAGCGGUGAAAUGCUUAGAUAUGACAUAGAACACCAAUUGCGAAGGCAGCUGGCUACACGAGCAUUGACACUCAGGCACGAAAGCGUGGGGAUCAAACAGG
rnacentral:rRNA from 1 species